rnacentral:lncRNA from 1 species
CCGGCAACUAGCCCCAUCUCUAGUUUUGAGGCUGCAGCAGGGCAGGGCUGGGAUUCCUGUUCUAGGGCUAGUCAGGGGCUGGGUCCCCUGUGGCUUUGAGCCUCCUUGAAGAAUUUCGAGGGAGGAUGUGCAGGGCGUGGGGAGAGGUGAGGCAGGAAUGUGGGGCUCCGGAGGGAAAGCAGUCAAAGGUGGAGAGGGCCUCCAGAGGUGGCUUUCCCAGGGCCCUGGGAAGCAGGGGCCAGUUUGAAUGACAAAGGUUCCCUGGAGAGCAAAGGAAAGCUCUAGAGGAUGGGAAUGUGGGAGGAGGAGGGUCAGAAGGGUGGGGAGGAAGCUGCCCGUGGGCUCCCAUCUGCAGCGGCCCUUUCAAGUCCUGCUAAACCCUUAACAAUAAGAGGAACUGACCAGUGGACACACGCAAAGGAUGAUUAACGUAGUUCACUGAAGAAAUACAAAAACCUGUGAAAACUCUAGAAAUCCCAAAGUACAAACGAAAAAGAGAGUCUGCUUUUUUCUAUCUAUAGAACUGGUCGAGAUAAUAGAAGUGAAAACACCAGAUGUUGGUGAGGUGUGGGAAAGGGAGAGCUUUUUCACUGAUGAGGACGUAAAUUGCACCACUUUCCUGCAGGACCAUGUCACCGAAGUUUUCCUUGAACCCCAUAACUCGGACUGGACUCUCCCUGCCAUCGUGGGCUCCCACAGUCUCCUCUGCUACCCUCCACAACCCACCCCUCUGUUAUGGCACUUGUCACACCUUACCAUAGCUGUCUCUCUAGAAUUACAGAAGGCUCCCUGAAGGAAGAGACCAUCACCCCUGUAUGCCCGUUAAAGUAGCAAAUAUGAACAAAACUAGUAAAACCCACUGCUGGCAGUGCUGCAGGUGUUGGGGCUCAGAACAUGAUAGCCCAACGUAUGGCGCUUUGGCAUGCUGAGUACUUGAACUUAAAGAGGAGCAAAAUCUCCAGCCGCUGUGUCUCCCACUCCUCUUUCUCCUUGAAGCAAAUCAGAGAAAACAGAAUUCCUGUUCCCUACAGCAUGUCAUAGAAACUAGGAGCUCUCUCCCCCUAAGUAAGCCAUAAAGUCUAGUAAGGUUACACUCUCCCUUUUCCCUGCCCCUGGAAGACCCUAAUUCCAGAGGGGUCCUGCCCCAUACCGUGGAAGAAGGAAUGCUGCACAGAGACCAAAAAGAAUCUGAACAGACAGGCUUCACUGGGUCUCCCCCCUCAGGCUAUUACCAUGAGGCCAUACCUCUGUCCAAUCACAUCUCUACACGGCUA